rnacentral:sRNA from 1 species
GGAAGACUGCUUGAGGCCAGGAGUUCGAGACCAGCUUGGGCAACAUAGCAAGACUCCAUCUCUAAAAUAAAUUUAAAUAUUAGCCAGGCAUAGUGGUGUGUGCCUAUAGUCCCGCAGCUGUAUCAGGAAGAUCACUUGACCACAGAAGAUGAAAGCUGCAGUGAGCUAUGAUUGCACCACUGCACACCAGCCUGGACAACAGAGAGAAACCUUGAAAAACAACAACAAUAACAACAACAACAAAGUGUAGUUAUUAGAAACCGAUUCUUAUUUUAAUUUAGAACAUUAUAAAUAUUUCCAUGUACAUGAAAGUUACUUUUCUUCUGUGGUUAUUACUAGGAUUCUGCUGGAAGAAGUAAGAGUGUUCACCACAUAUUUUCUUUUCAAGAGAAUAAUCAUCUCAGUUUUGAUCCCCUGGCAUCAUUUAUUCUCCGUACUGAUCACUACAUCAUGGCCCGGGUCCUUUUUGUGCUGAUUGUGCUGAGCCAGCUCACCAUUCUCAUUAUUUUUAGAUAUCGAGGAUACCCAGAGCUUAAAGGUUAGUUAUGGUUCCUUUUAUUCCUAUAAGCCUUGUUCAUGGAAAAACCAAACUCCGUAAAAUAUUUUAAAGAGGUUUAUUCUAAGCCAAUAUGAAUGACCAUGGUCCAGGGAAAACACAAACUCAAGAAGCCUUGAGUAAAUGGUCCUGAGGCAGUUGGAUUACAAUAGGGAUU